rnacentral:lncRNA from 7 species
AUGAGAUGAGGAAAGGGCUGAGGAGAAAUGGACUGACACGAACCCUGCAGGAAACGUAUGUAACAGUCCGAGCUGAUGUUCUUUGUGUCUAAUAGCACAAUGGGGAAGAGUUGCACCGGGCAGGAGUUGGUCCGUCUGCAAACAGGGGAUUUACAGCAGGUCCCAGGUACUUCCCAGUUUCCAAGGGAAAACCCUGGGUGUACUUUGGGAAGGUUCUCUCUCCCUGCUUUUAUUCUUGCUGUGGGAUCAGAUGACAUCUGGCUCCAUUGCUUUGUCAGCCCUUAGGUUGUUUUUCAGCUGUGCCAUCCAUAGUCGUCCAAGGUCCUACGAAAGGAUUCAAGAGCUGGUGCUAAAUAGAUUACCAAGACUACAAGGAGAUUAUGCUUUCAAGAAACCAGCUACACUUUGCUGGUAGAAAUAAAAAGAAUUCGUUGUCCACGGACUGCUUUUAUAUGUAUUUAGGAGGUGCUCAGCACAACAAAGGCACCAGCACCAGGUGUGCACUGUUAUCAGCAAGUAUGGAUGUAGUAGGCCCUUACAGCCUCCAACAGAAAAUUUCAGUGAAACAACAGAAGCAGAUUUGUUUUCUUCCCUCUUUGAUUGGACUGGAGAAAGACUUUGCCUGAACUGUUAUUAUCAUAAUAUUCUGUAAAACAAAUCAGGAAUCACGCAAAGGUGGACUAAAGAGUUCUUAUUCCUCUUUCUAGCUUUCCCUUUGAAACCAUACUACAAAUCCAGCUAAUCCUCUUUGGGGAGAGUGCUCUGGCCCUUGCUGCAAUCGCUUCCUGACUCCCCUCAUUUAGCUUGUCAUACAGUGCCACUGCAUGGGUAUGCUCUCAUACAAGGUGCUUUUAGGCAACAGCUUUUUUCCCUGUGUACAUUUUGGCAUCUCCAGUGUUUUCUCAUGGGUUUUCCAGGCCCCCCACUGCUCUACAGCCUGUGUUAUUGGCACUGAGCAGUAUUCACAAGUUACCCAUCUUCUUUUCCUUCAGAAUGUCACGUUGUUUUUGUUCUAACACACUGAUGUAUCUGCUCAUAAAAAUUAGAUUCCUGAAAG